rnacentral:rRNA from 4 species
UGGACAGAAAGACCCUAUGAAGCUUUACUGUAACUUGAGACUGAUUUCGGGCUUUAUUUGCGCAGCAUAGGUGGGAGGCUUUGAAGCAAGACUUACGGGUUUUGGGGAGCCAUCGGUGAGAUACCACUCUGAUAAAGCUAGAACUCUAACCUUACACCGUAAGCCGGUGAAGGAACAAUCUCAGGCGGGCAGUUUGACUGGGGCGGUCGCCUCCUAAAAAGUAACGGAGGCGCACAAAGGUUUCCUCAGAUCGGUCAGACAUCGAUCUUCGAGUGUAAAGGCAUAAGGAAGCUUGACUGUGAGACCUACAAGUCGAACAGAGACGAAAGUCGGUCUUAGUGAUCUGGCGAUAUUGAGUGGAAAAGUCGUCACUCAACGGAUAAAAGUUACUCUAGGGAUAACAGGCUGA